CAGGCCUAACACAUGCAAGUCGAACGAGAACGGAUUAUAGCUUGCUAUAAUUGUCAGCUAAGUGGCGCACGGGUGAGUAAUAUAUAGUUAACCUGCCCUCAAGAAAGGAAUAACAGUUGGAAACGACUGCUAAUGCCCUAUAUGCCUUUAAUACAUAAGUAUGCAAGGGAAACGCUUUAGUGCUUGAGGAUGGGACUGUAUGGUAUCAGCUUGUUGGUGAGGUAAUGGCUCACCAAGGCUAUGACGCCUAACUGGUUUGAGAGGAUGAUCAGUCACACUGGAACUGAGACACGGUCCAGACUCCUACGGGAGGCAGCAGUGGGGAAUAUUGCACAAUGGACGAAAGUCUGAUGCAGCAACGCCGCGUGGAGGAUGACACAUUUCGGUGCGUAAACUCCUUUUAUAUGGGAAGUAAUGGCGGUACCAUAUGAAUAAGCACCGGCUAACUCCGUGCCAGCAGCCGCGGUAAUACGGAGGGUGCAAGCGUUACUCGGAAUCACUGGGCGUAAAGAGCGUGUAGGCGGGUAUAUAAGUCAGAAGUGAAAUCCAAUAGCUUAACUAUUGAACUGCUUUUGAAACUGUGUACCUAGAAUGUGGGAGAGGUAGAUGGAAUUUCUGGUGUAGGGGUAAAAUCCGUAGAGAUCAGAAGGAAUACCGAUUGCGAAGGCGAUCUACUGGAACAUUAUUGACGCUGAGACGCGAAAGCGUGGGGAGCAAACAGGAUUAGAUACCCUGGUAGUCCACGCCCUAAACGAUGCACACUAGUUGUUGUGAGGCUAGACCUUGCAGUAAUGCAGUUAACACAUUAAGUGUGCCGCCUGGGGAGUACGGUCGCAAGAUUAAAACUCAAAGGAAUUGACGG
rnacentral:rRNA from 1 species